rnacentral:rRNA from 1 species
GGACACGUGAAAUCCUGUCUGAACAUGGGGGGACCACCCUCCAAGCCUAAGUACUCCUUACCGACCGAUAGUGAACAAGUACCGUGAGGGAAAGGUGAAAAGCACCCCGACGAGGGGAGUGAAACAGUUUCUGAAACCGGACGCCUACAAGCAGUCGGAGCCUCCUUGAGAGGUGACGGCGUACCUUUUGUAUAAUGGGUCAUCGACUUGGUCUCACGAGCAAGCUUAAGCCGUUAGGUGUAGGCGCAGCGAAAGCGAGUCUUAAUAGGGCGUCGAGUUCGUGGGAUCAGACCCGAAACCGAGUGAUCUAGA